UACGGGGGGGGUAAGCGUUGUUCGGAAUUACUGGGCGUAAAGGGCUCGUAGGCGGCCAACUAAGUCAUACGUGAAAUCCCUCAGCUUAACUGGGGAACUGCGUGUGAUACUGGAUGGCUUGGAUUUGGGAGAGGGAUGCGGAAUUCCUGGUGUAGCGGUGAAAUGCGCAGAUAUCAGGAGGAACACCGAUGGCGAAGGCAGAUCUCUGGGCCUUACCUGACGCUGAGGAGCGAAAGCUGGGGGAGCGAACAGG
rnacentral:rRNA from 1 species